rnacentral:rRNA from 1 species
AUCGUAGGGUUAGUCGUGUCCUAAGUCGAGUCCGAUAGGGGUAGACGAUGGCAAAUUGGUUAAUAUUCCAAUACCAACAUUAGUGUGCGCUGGAAGGACGCUUAGGGCUCAGGGGGCUAGCGCAUGGAAGGGCUAGUCUAAGGUCGUAGGAGGUUAUACAGGCAAAUCCGUAUAACAAUACUCCGAGAACUGAAAGGCUUUUUGCAGUCUUCGGGUGGAUAGAAGAACCCCUGUUGCCGUCGAGCCAAG